UACAAGGAUCCGACGUUUUGUUUUGAAUUGAAAAAAUAUUACUAACGUAAUGGCGGAAUCAUUCACUUCCUCUCAAGAACAGUCUGAAGGAGCUGGUGAUACCACCGAGGACUGUCAACAAUUGUCUGAAUCUCGUUAUAUUUUGGCUAAAUAUCGUCUGCAACAAUCACCAUCAGCAACUACUCCGAAAACUGUAGAAGAGGCUGAUUUAGAGAGGGAAGGGCCGAUAGGUCCUGAGUUUUUACCUCCAAAUAUUCAUGGUGGUGAAUUUCAUUGCAACCGAGAAACUUGCUAUCAACUUGCAUGGUGUCUAUGCGUCCCAUGCAUUUCAACAAGUUUAUGUUGGAUACAAUGCUGUGAGAAAAUCUACGAGUGUAUUGGGAAGUAUAUCACCGAAAAAGAAGAAGAGUCCGAAAUGAUUUGUUGCACCAUGAAUUGUUGUCGAUUAUAAACAAUACUUAAAACCUUUUA